rnacentral:rRNA from 1 species
AGAGUUUGAUUCUGGCUCAGAUUGAACGCUGGCGGCAGGCUUAACACAUGCAAGUCGAGCGGAAACGAAGGUAGCUUGCUACCAGGCGUCGAGCGGCGGACGGGUGAGUAAUGCUUAGGAAUCUACCGAGUAGUGGGGGAUAGCCAUUGGAAACGAUGAUUAAUACCGCAUAUAUCCUACGGGGGAAAGCAGGGGACCUUCGGGCCUUGCGCUAUUCGAUGAGCCUGAGUGAGAUUAGCUAGUUGGUGGGGUAAAGGCCUACCAAGGCGACGAUCUCUAGCUGGUCUGAGAGGAUGAUCAGCCACACUGGGACUGAGACACGGCCCAGACUCCUACGGGAGGCAGCAGUGGGGAAUAUUGCACAAUGGACGAAAGUCUGAUGCAGCCAUGCCGCGUGUGUGAAGAAGGCCUUCGGGUUGUAAAGCACUUUCAGCGAGGAGGAAAGGUCAGUAAGUAAUAUUUGCUGGCUGUGACGUUACUCGCAGAAGAAGCACCGGCUAAUUUAGCGCCAGCAGCCGCGGUAAUACUAAAGGUGCAAGCGUUAAUCGGAAUUACUGGGCGUAAAGCGCGCGUAGGUGGUUUGUUAAGUUGGAUGUGAAAGCCCAGGGCUCAACCUUGGAACUGCAUUCAAAACUGACUCACUAGAGUACGAGAGAGGUUAGUGGAAUUUCCUGUGUAGCGGUGAAAUGCGUAGAGAUGGGAAGGAACACCAGUGGCGAAGCGACUGACUGGCUCGAUACUGACACUGAGUGC